rnacentral:rRNA from 1 species
AUUGAACGCUGGCGGCAGGCCUAACACAUGCAAGUCGAACGAGUGGCGGACGGGUGAGUAAUGUCUGGGAAACUGCCUGAUGGAGGGGGAUAACUACUGGAAACGGUAGCUAAUACCGCAUACCAUCAGAUGUGCCCAGAUGGGAUUAGCUUGUUGGUGGGGUAACGGCUCACUAAGGCGACGAUCCCUAGCUGGUCUGAGAGGAUGACCCGGCACACCUGAACUGGGACACGGGCCCGGAUCCCACGGGAGGCAGGAGGGGGGAAUUAUGCACAAUGGGGGCCAGCCUGAUGGCGCCAUGCCCGGGUGAAUGAGAAGGCCUUCGGGUUGUAAAGUACUUUCAGCGGGGAGGCGUUACCCGCAGAAGAAGCACCGGCUAACUCCGUGCCAGCCGCCGCGGUAAUUC